UACAGAGGGUGCGAGCGUUAUUCGGAAUUACUGGGCGUAAAGCGCGCGCAGGCGGAUCCUGCAAGUCCGGAGUGAAAUCUCACCGCUCAACGGUGAGGCUGCUUUGGAUACUGCGGAUCUGGAGACCGGUAGAGGCUGGUAGAAUUGCAGGUGUAGCGGUGGAAUGCGUAGAGAUCUGCAAGAAUACCCGUGGCGAAGGCGGCCAGCUGGGCCGGUUCUGACGCUGAGGCGCGAAAGCUAGGGGAGCAAACGGG
rnacentral:rRNA from 1 species